rnacentral:rRNA from 1 species
AGCAGUCGCCGCGGGAAUACGAAGGGUGCAAGCGUUAAUCGGAAUUACUGGGCGUAAAGCGUGCGUAGGCGGUUUGUUAAGUCUGCUGUGAAAUCCCCGGGCUCAACCUGGGAAUGGCAGUGGAUACUGGCAAGCUAGAGUGUGUCAGAGGAUGGUGGAAUUCCCGGUGUAGCGGUGAAAUGCGUAGAGAUCGGGAGGAACAUCAGUGGCGAAGGCGGCCAUCUGGGACAACACUGACGCUGAGGCACGAAAGCGUGGGGAGCAAACAGGAUUAGAUACCCCAGUAGUCCCUGUCUCUUAUAC